AACUUUUAGCAAUGGAUCUCUUGGUUCCGGCAUCGAUGAAGAACGCAGCGAAAUGCGAUAAGUAAUGUGAAUUGCAGAUUUCAGUGAAUCAUCGAAUCUUUGAACGCACAUUGCGCCCCUUGGUAUUCCGAGGGGCAUGCCCGUCCGAGCGUCAUUUCGACCAUCAGGCCACGCCUGGUAUUGGACGUGGUCGUCACUGCGACCCCUCCGAAACUCAGAGCGGCGGCGCCGUCCGACCCGAAGCGUAGCAGAAAACCUCGCUCCGGAUCGUGUCGGUCGCUCGCCCGACGAGCACCUCAUCACGAAAUUUUGACCUCGGAUCGGGUAGGGUUACCCGCUGAACUUAAGCAUAUCAAUAAGCGGAGGCU
rnacentral:misc_RNA from 1 species